ACUCAAAUGAAUUGACGGGGGCCCGCACAAGCAGCGGAGCGUGUGGUUUAAUUCGAUGCGACGCGAAGCACCUUACCCAGGCUGGACACGCGCCCGCACCGCCCGUAGCGGGGCGUCCCCGCAAGGGGCGGGCGCGCAGGUGCUGCAUGGCUGUCGUCAGCUCGUGCCGUGAGGUGUUGGGUUAAGUCCCCUAACGAGCGCAACCCCCGGGGCCGGUUGCCCGCAAGGGUCUCUCCGGCCCGACUGCCGCGCGCAACGCGGAGGAAGGUGGGGACGACGUCAAGUCAGCACGGCCCUGACGCCUGGGGCGACACACACGCUACAAUGGCCGGGGCAGCGGGACGCCAGGCGGCGACGCCGCGCCAAUCCCCAAGCCCGGCCCCAGUUCGGAUCGCAGGCUGCAACCCGCCUGCGUGAAGCCGGAGUUGCUAGUAACCGCGGGUCAGCACACCGCGGUGAAUGCGUUCCCGGGCCUUGUACACACCGCCCGU
rnacentral:rRNA from 1 species